AUGGGUGAGGGUGAGGAUAUGGAGUGUAUGGAGGAGGCUUAGGAGAUGGUGGAGGCAGAGAUUUAUAGUAGUAAGGCACAUGAGGAGGAUACGGUGAAGGAGGAGGUGGAGACUUAUAAUAGUAAGGUGGAGGAGGUGAAGGAGAUGGUGGAGGAGGAGAUUUGUAGUAGUAAGGUGGUGGAGGAGAUGGUGAAGGAGGAGGCGGAGACUUGUAGUAAUAUGGAGGAGGGGGUGAGGGAGAUGGAGGAGGAGGAGAUUUGUAGUAGUAUGGUGUUGGAGCUGGGUGACUUCUCAGGUGGGGGAGGAGACUUGUAGUAGUAUGGUGGUGGUGGUGAUGGUGAAGGUGGUGGUGGGGACUUGUAGUAGUAAGGAGGUGGAGGUGAUGGAGAGGUGGUGGCGGGAAUUUAUAGUAGUAAGGAGGG
rnacentral:lncRNA from 1 species